AUGGGGCGCUGCGGGCCUGGGGCCGGGGCCUGUGGGCGGGGCCACUGCGGGCCUGGGGGCGGGGCGGGGGCGGGGCGCUGCGGGCCUGGGGCGGGCCUGGGGGCGGGGCCUGGGGGGGGCGGGGGCCUGGGCGGGGCGGGGGCGGGGCGCUGCGGGCCUGGGGCGGGCGGGGCGGGCCUGCGGGCCUGGGGCGGGGCGGGGGCGGGGCGCUGCGGGCCUGGGGCGGGGCGGGGGCGGGGAGGGGCCUGCGGCGCGGGGGCGGGGUCUGCGUGGGGCGCUGCGGGCCUGGGGCCGGGCCUGUGGGCGGGGCCGGGGCGGGGCCUGCGGCGGGGGGCGGGGGCGGGGCGGGGCGCUGCGGGCCUGGGGCCGGGCCUGCGUGGGGCGCUGCGGGCCUGGGGGCGGGGGCGGGGCGGGGCCUGCAGCGCGGGUGCGGGCGCGGGGCGGGGCGCUGCGGGCCUGGGGCGGGGCCUGCGUGGGGCGCUGCGGGCCUGGGGCCGGGCCUGUGGGCGGGGCCGCUGCGGGGCGGGGCGGGGUCUGCGGGGGCGCUGCGGCCUGGGGCGGGGCCUGGGGGCGGGGCCGCUGCGGGGCGGGGCGGGGCGGGGCGCUGCGGCAGCGGGUCGGGGCGGCGGGGCCGUGCCCGCUGGAGGGGGCGCUGUGGGCGCGGCGGAGCGUCCUUUGUCAGCGCGCCGCCAGGGGAGCUCUGGCUCGCUCCCGCCCGGUGCGGGAAGUGGAUUUGGACGCGACGGCGGGGCGGCGAGGACGAGCGGGAGCGGCCGCCCUUUGUGGGGCUGGCGGAGCGGAGACGCGGCCCCGGCGGCGGGCAGCGCGCGGCUGCGGGAUGGAGGGACGCGCCGUCCUGCGCUCCGGCGGGGGCGCCCGUUAGCAGAGCCCGAGGGGGGACGGCGGAGCCGGGCGGCGGCCCCGGGGGAGCAGGGACCGGCGAGCGGCCGCGCACAGGUUGCCGAGAAGAGGGAGACGACAAACCCGGGCCCAGAUUCGCCGAGGACGCCCUAG
rnacentral:lncRNA from 1 species